AUACGUAGGUGACAAGCGUUAUCCGGAUUUACUGGGCGUAAAGGGCGUGUAGGCGGUCUUGCAAGUCAGAAGUGAAAUUCCUGAGCUCAACUCGGGCGCUGCUUCUGAAACUGCAGGACUUGAGUGCUGGAGGGGAUAGCGGAAUUCCUAGUGGAGCGGUAAAAUGCGCAGAUAUUAGGAAGAACACCGGUGGCGAAGGCGGCUAUCUGGACAGUAACUGACGCUGAGGCGCGAAAGCGUGGGGAGCAAACAGGAUUAGAUCCCCUGGUAGUCCACGCCGUAAACGAUGAAUACUAGGUGUUGGGAGAUUAAACUCUCGGUGCCGUCGCAAACGCAUAAAGUAUUCCACCUGGGGAGUACGUUCGAAAGAAUAAAACUUAAAGGAAUUGACGGGG
rnacentral:rRNA from 1 species